rnacentral:lncRNA from 1 species
CUUCUUUCGUUUUCCCGUCUUCCAGCCGCUGCCGCGGAAAGCUUGAGCGGCAGCUUUCGAUAUGGCGGUGAAGUUUCUUGAUUGGUAUGCGAAGAUCGCGGUCUUCUCGGCCCUCGUCGGAGGCUCCAUGGAGUUGUUCAUGAUCAAGACCGGCUUCUGUGUGAGGACCCUCCAUCUCUUUCUUGCUCCUCCUUCGCCGUUCCUGCAAUUCUUUUCGUUUCGACUUUUUCCG